rnacentral:ncRNA from 3 species
AAUUUUUAGUCGGGGUGCUUCUUAAGAAGCUGAGAUUAAACCCGUGAACCUGAUACAGUUAGUACUGACGUAGGAAACUAAUAUGCUUAUUUU